rnacentral:sRNA from 1 species
UUAAUGAAGUAGAAGUAUCCGCUUCUCACCUUAUUGCAAAUGAGCGUAUAAGGUUAUGAUAAAGGAUGUUAUUAUGUCUUUAUUUGCGGAUAGCUUAUGCUAUCCGCAUUUUUUAUAUGAU